ensembl:lncRNA
GUCAGUGUUUAUCUGAGCAAGUUAUAAAUGAAAAAUCCUGUCUACUGUGUAAACAAUGUUGUUAGAUGCUAUUUUCCUUCAGAACUGGUAGGAUAGGUUUAUCAAAGCAAUCUCUAGGGUUACUGCUGGAUUUACAUUCUAUUUCACAAAUAGACUUAUUACCUUCCAAAAUUCUUGUAUUGUAAACUAUUUUUACUUUGUAUUUCCAAAGAGGUAGAAUAUAUAUAUUUACUCUAAUGAAAGAAACCACCUGCUUGCAGAGAACGAGGAUAAUUUUUUAUAUUUGUAUUUGACAAAUACUACACCAGAUAUUUAAAAGGAUUUAUUUGCUUUAUAUAUUUAUUUAUUUGAGAGUAGAGCCAUCAUAGGAAAUCAAAUAAAAUAUUUGAUGACUUUAGGAAGAGAAAAGAAAAAGAAGGGCCCAAACAAAGAUGUACCAGUGAUAAAUAGCUUAGAAUCAUAGAAUGGUUUGGGUUGGAAGGGACCUUUAAGAUCACCUAGUUCUAACCCCCUACUAUAGGCAGGGACACCUCCCACCAGACCAGGUUGCUCACAGCCCCAUUCAGCCUAGCCUUAAAUGCUUCCAGGGAGGGGGCAUCCACAGCCUCAAUGGGCAACCUGUUCCAGUGUCUCACUACCCUCACAGUAAAGAAUUUCUUCCUGACAUCUAGUCUACAUCUACCCUCUUCAAGUGUCUUAUUACAUCAAUGCUGGUUUGUAAAAGUACUUGACUAAAUGAGUAAAAAUAGCCAACUGAGAAUGUCAGGAAUCUAUGCUUGGUAACUAACCAGAUUGAAAAAAGAGGCAGUUUUGUUGUUGUUGUUGUUUCCUUAAGAAAGUGAUGGGAGGAAAUAAAGAAUUAAAGUGAGAACAAGGAGCGGUAGGAACUCCUAGGUGAAGAAUCUUAAAGAUAGUGAAGUACCAGUGUCUGCUAGUCAGGUGUGGCACAGCAAAUUAAAAAUAACCAAAGGAAGGUAUAAAAUCAGCAAAACUAGUACAGAAAAAAUGACACUGUUUAUUUGAGAAUAUGAUAAAGAAGAAAAAUAACUAAGAGAAAUUGAAUCAUAUGAUCAUAACUAUCCUUUACAUAGUCCUGCGUCUGACCAGUACAGAUGAAACAGAACAGUACGAGUAUUGUUCUGCCCAUGCCAUGCACAUCUGACUUGCUUUCCCAGUUAGGGAAAACCAAGGUGCUUUAUGACCUCAAUGAAUUAACACUCCUGAGAAGAUAGAGAGUGGGCUGCUUACUUAUGAGUACACUCCUGGGUGUCUAUUUCCAGAAGAUUUCUUGACAAAUCUAUUUUGGUUCUAGCUCACCAUGGAAGAGGGAUUUCCUGUGUGGAGACAUCCAAGGAGCUUUCUAAAUAACCUGUGAGGACACACUCUUCAGAAAUCAUAACUCUAGUAAAUCUGAAUCCAUAUCCAGAUAGUUAACUCAUCUAGCUAUAAUGAUAGGGUCAUGAAGGUAAAAUGCAAAAUGGGAGAUACAGUAUACUUUCUGCUCCUAUUCACUUAGUAGUUCAGUUCAAAGUCCUAGAAGAGGUAUACCAACGCUGGACCAUGCAUCAGGUAAUCUUUCUGUGAAAGUCAGGAUUCUUAUUCAUGGCACUGUAUCUGACAUAGAGAUAAGGCAUACUCUCUAAUCUCCUAAUGACAAUCCUUGCAAUGUAAAGAAUCUCACCACUAAAAAAGAUCACAUGACUAUCUUAAAAAAAUGCUGAUAUUUUCCACAAAUAAAAGAAUACUGACUGCUUAGUGUUUAUUUGUUUGUUUUGUGAUGAAAAUAGUCAAAUACUUAUUUCUGUAGCCUGUAACAUUUACAGAGUCCCAAAGGACAGCACUUUCUGAUAUAUCAGCUGGACUCAGUAUUGACACAAGUAUAAAGAAGCCACAGAAAACAUUUGAUGUCUAAAGCUGUAAUAUAUCUUUAUGAAAUUAGUUAGUGUUCAUCUAUAAACAUAUAAAUAAACUUUGUAUUAGGAACAUUAUUUCUGAUGUCUCGAUGCCUUCCUGGAAUUCUGCUGUUUCAUUAAAUGAAGGAUACUGUGGUAUAAAGGUCCAUUUAUAUAAACAUUUGCAUGAAGAAAUUUUUCUCUUUAAUAUUUCCAAUUACUAUUCCCUUUCAAAGAUUCUGUAAUUGUACAACUAAGUGAAGUUUUUGCAUCACACUGAAAUUACCCAUUUUGUUGUUUAAAAUACAAAACCUCUGAAAUACGUGAUCCUUUGCAAUGCAAGCAUUCUGUAGAGACAGAGUUGCUGCUGAGUCUAAUGAAAUAUUACCUGACAAACAAACUCCUUCCUGUCUUGGCACAGUAAACGUACUGUGAUAAAUCCUGACCCCACAUGCACAAAUCCUAUCCAUGAAUGCAUCCACUUGCUUAACGUUCAAUAGAGCUACGAGAAGCAAUUGCCACUAGUUUAACUGAUGUCAGAGAAUAUAAUUCCAUCUUCAUUGUCUGGCACUUUUUAGAAGGAUCAAGGAUUACUACUGAAAAAAGUCAACAUUUGAAAGACAGAGUAGCAGUAUUUUAAUAUCCAUUUCUAAUAACAUGAGUGCAAGAAUUUCUUUCACAUGGGUUCCUAAUUAUGAAUUCUAUCCAAAAUGCAGCUCUUCUAAUAAGUUAAGUGGAUAACUCUCUGUCCUUGUACACAUCAUUUUUUAUAGUAGUGGGAGAGAAGCUGUUGAGUAUAGUUAUAGCAGCUGAAAAGCCUUUAUUGUAUCCUCUUAUUCUAAGUUAUUUAUAACUUAUGACCCUGCAUUUAUAGUCUUCUUCUCAUAGAAAAAUGUCUAUUUCAUCUGGGACAACUGAAAAUAAUUCAGCAAUGAAGAUUUUCAACACAGCAGCUGAGAAAAAGCAUCAUGUAAACAUCUGAAAGAUGAACUGCCUGCUCUGCAUUAGACAAGGAGGAGAUGUAGAAAUUAAUCACUUUCCAUAAAUUGAUGUAAUUUUUAAGGGUUUUUAAAGAUGCUGAAUAGUCCCGCAGGUUUCCUCAGGGCUCUAGUCAUCUUCCAGCUUCUCCAGCAUUCUGGAUACAGAAGAAAUACAAUGGCUACACAGAAGAGAAAUGAAAUGAAAUGGCUGAACAGAAGAGAGAGAAAGCUAAGUCAUUUUCCUUAUGGUUUCUUGAUAAGCAGUAUUAGCUUCUCCAAAUAGCAAGGCGUAUAAAAGAGAAUUAAAAUAAUAUUCCAGUUUUCCAGAGCUUGAAAACGGAAGCACAGAAAGCAGCUCAUUCAACAUUCUCUGGCCACUAUCAGGGACAGGAAUAAAAUGAAAGUACACUUCAAGCAACUGUAUCUUUCUUUUUCCUUUAAAAAUAAAGCUUGUAAAACUUACAUAUCAUUUGUAUGUAUACACUUGUAAAUUAAAUGGAAUAUUUAAGUAAUGAAAUUUAAAAAAAUGUAUAGAAGAAAUGGAGAAGAAAUAAAAUGAAGUUAAAAUU